CAGCCGUAAACUAUGCUCGCUAGGUGUCAGGCAUGGCGCGACCGUGUCUGGUGCCGCAGGGAAGCCGUGAAGCGAGCCACCUGGGAAGUACGGCCGCAAGGCUGAAACUUAAAGGAAUUGGCGGGGGAGCACAACAACGGGUGGAGCCUGCGGUUUAAUUGGACUCAACGCCGGACAACUCACCGGGGACGACAGCAAUAUGUAGGCCAGGCUGAAGACCUUGCCUGAAUCGCUGAGAGGAGGUGCAUGGCCGUCAGUGACU
rnacentral:rRNA from 1 species